GAUGAACGCUGACAGAAUGCUUAACACAUGCAAGUCAACUUGAAUUUGGGUUUUUAACUUCGGUUUGGGUGGCGGACGGGUGAGUAACGCGUAAAGAACUUGCCUCACAGCUAGGGACAACAUUUGGAAACGAAUGCUAAUACCUAAUAUUAUGAUAAUAGGGCAUCCUAUAAUUAUGAAAGCUAUAAGCGCUGUGAGAGAGCUUUGCGUCCCAUUAGCUAGUUGGAGAGGUAACGGCUCACCAAGGCGAUGAUGGGUAGCCGGCCUGAGAGGGUGAUCGGCCACAAGGGGACAGGGACACGGCCCUUACUCCUACGGGAGGCAGCAGUGGGGAAUAUUGGACAAUGGACCGAGAGUCUGAUCCAGCAAUUCUGUGUGCACGAUGAAGUUUUUCGGAAUGUAAAGUGCUUUCAGUUGGGAAGAAACAAAUGACGGUACCAACAGAAGAAGUGACGGCUAAAUACGUG
rnacentral:rRNA from 1 species